UACAUUUUUUCUGUUAAAAAGUACCAUUUUGAGUGUUUGACUAUGCAAGUAGAAUAACAAUCGUGUAUUGGGUAGAGACAUGUAAAUAUUUUUCAAGUAACUACCAUGUAUAAAUAUUUUGUGCAACAUGCCACGAUUUAACCAUAGAGGUUUUGUUUGUUGGGAUAUGUUGUUGAAAUACUAACCUGUCUAUUACCAAGCCGAACAAUUCCACAUUCACUUUCAUUGGUAUCUUUUUACUCGCCUUGGUCACAUACUGGUAUAUACCACUUACAUGGUUAAAGAUGUGCUUGGCUAUAUGUUUGAAUUUAGUAAUGUAUGGGUGUAAAUGGUUAACGUGCAAAUUUGGAGUAAAAAAUAAGGAAAGUUACUGAACCAGCCGAUCCGGUAUACGACUUUUGGUCGUCAAGUUUUCAAAAUCACCAUUUAAAUUGCAAUUUAGUAUUGGAAGAUACAUAUAAAAGUAUGCAUAUAUACAUUGUUCGGUUGUGUUUGCUUCUGAUCAACUCAGAUGGACGCAAACUGGGUUCCUCAAUCACCUCAAGUCCUGAAUCGGAAUCUAUAUUAUCCAAGUUACUAUUUGAGUUACUAAUACAAAAGUUCAUGGGAUCUGAUGUAACUAAUUGCAUUCUUUUGUGUAAAAGUGCGUUCAUCGGUGGCGGCAGUGGAGGGGGUGGAGGCCCACUUACUAAAAUGAUGCGAAAAUUUAUGUAUUCGUUCGUGUACCUCAGUUAGUAUGUAUGCAUGUAUUGUAGAAAUAGACAUAUGAACGUACAUAUAUUUGCAUUUGUGAAACAUACCGAUUUCUAUGUUUUGUAUAGGCGGAGCAGAUGAAACUCGUUUUAACUGGCGAUCGCAUGUGUUGCCAUCAUUGCAUGUUGGGUGGAAUAUAUUGCAGGUGUUCCCGGUGCUACCGUAAUCAAGAUUAUUUCGAAUAACGGAGUUUUUCUGUGACUGCUUGGUGCGCUCAGCAACAUCUUCUAUUGGACACACACUUUCAUAUGUGUCGCUUUUAACACCACAAUUGAUAUUGCUACUAGCGUUGAGCAGGUUCUUUAGAUUGACAUUUUUAACGGUGAAACUUUCCUUUUGCGAUAACUCGUAUUUGGGUUUGCUAUUUAUUCCUAUAGUCGAUUGUGAUUUAUUUCGAUUUAGCCGCUCACUUUGCUGUUUGUUGUUCAUAUUCUAAAAUUAAAAUUCAUCUUUUUUAUUCAAAUAAGUUUCAGAAUUUCCACUAAUUUGAUGUGUGAUGGAUUAAUGUAAUACCUCUCCAAAAUAAGCAGUGAAAUUAGGAUGCUUAUUCGAUAGGCAGUGCACCACUUAACGAUUACAAACCAACCACUUAACGGAAUUAUCUCAAAAUACAUUUAUAACCAAGGGGAUGAGGAAUUAAAGACGACUUUGCUAAAUUUAAUUUGAAAAGUUUUGCUAUAUAUGUUUACUUACAUGAUUGCUGUAUUGUAGUACGAAAUCUGAACUUCGAGUCGAGGAAGUGCUAGCUGAGCGUGAAUGAGACCCACUAUCACGGGACCGUGAUCGUCCAGAACCACAUUUGCUUUUGUUUUUUCGCGCCUCCUCACGAACUAAAUAUAUAUCCUCGUAAUCAUGGUCAUGUGAACUUUCUGGUUUCAGCUUGUCAUUGUUUAAAUAGUUUGUUUUAGGUUGUUUAGCUUCUUGAUUUUGUUUAUCAAUUUUAAUAUUAUUGUUGUUGAUUUUAUUAUAGUUGAUUCCAGAAAUUAAAUUGGCAUUAAUUUUUUUUUUAUCAUUGCUGAUGCUUUUUGUGCUGGUGCUGGCGCUGAAGCCUUGAUCGUGGCUGCUAACUUCGUUAUUACAUUUAGUGUGAAGAUUAAAACUUUGACUUCGAAAAUUGUUUGUUUUGGAUAAUUUCAUAUUCGAUUGAAUAGAAACGGAAAUAGAUUCUUCUGAUCCGCUUCCUGUACCACUUGAACUGGAGUGAACAUCUGCUUGUACAACAACUGCAUUGUUUAUGGUAUUUGAUUUAUGUAUUUUGUUAUGACUGUGAGUUUUGUGGCGAUUAAUUUUCGGAUUUAAAUUUCCAGCACUGUUACAAUCGGAAUCGAACAACUCCCGAACUCGAUUAUAAAUUAGUUCAUGAGGGUCGUGGAGGAAAAAUGAUUCUCCUGAAACACUGCCGGUCGGGGAAGGAGGAGUAAAGAAACUGUUACGCAUUGGAUUGACAUACAAGCCAUCAUUCGGCACCAUUUGCCCAUUGUAUAAUUUUUCAGAAGAUGAGCGCGAUUGUUGAGAGUGUGCAUAAAUGGCCUCUAUGCGUUUAUGGGUCAUAGAAGUCGAUGGUGGAUGCAAAUAAAAGGGCUCAAUAUCUGAGCUUAAAGUCGAAGAUGUCUUCGAUUUAAUGGUGUUACUGCAACUAGUCUGUUUACUACUGUUCGAGUUAAAGCUUCCGUGUGAGCUAUUAUUGAUACAGUUGCCUCCAUCACUACCAUUGAAACUGCAAUUUUUCAUCUCUUGAAAUUCCUUAUUAGAUAAGGAACAAGUUUUCUGUCGUUGUUGUGGAUUCCUGUCCCGACAACCAUAGUCUAUUGUACUACCGUGUUGCACUAACACAUUAAGACACUUGAAUUAACGAACAGAGAUACAAAGAAAAUAAACACAAAUAAAGAAACAUGUCUAAAAGAAGAGUAAUGAUAUUAAAAGUCCUUACUUACCAAAAAUAAUUAAAUUUCUACAUAAAGAAGAAGAUCUCACCUCUACUUGUUGGUUUUCUGCUGCAUCGUUAAUGGGUGACUUGCCAUACUUAUCUAACGAUAGUUUUGCCCCAUGUUUAAGCAACCAUCGUACUACGGAAAGGUGUCCUCUUGACGCGGCAAAAUGUAGUGGUGUAGCACCGUCUCCAUCUCGUAGAUUUGGAUCAACACCCUGAUCUUGCACCUUUGUACGUGUAUAUGCAAAAAAAACAUAUAGUUGACAUGGAUACCUUGAUCGUUCAUUUAUGGGCACUGUAAGUAAAUAUAAUAGACUAUUGUAUUGAAUACAUUUACCAUCCAUCUGAGGCAAUCCAAACAUCCCAUUUGAGAAGCAGCAUGUAUCGGUGCCAUACCGUCGCGUGCGCGUACAUAGAGAGAACCACCAGCUUCAAGCACUAAAAAUUUUAGCACCUCCAAGUGCCCUUCUUGCGCUGCCAAGUAGACCGGUGUGACAUCGUUGUCCAUUUGAGUAUUCGCGCUGUAUAGGGUAAAGUGAAAAAAUUAUGCAAUUAUAAAUAAAUAACAAAAGUGUGUGUACUCAUA